CUGCAGCCAGUUAAGCUGACCAUCUCCCUCUCCCCAUGGGGGCUUGGUGUUCAGCAGCUGCAAAUGGCAGCCGCGUUGGUAAUAUACACACCUGUUGCUUGUACGGGUUUCUCUACGGGACCUUGGAGACAGCC
rnacentral:snoRNA from 1 species